CACUUAGAAGUUCUGGGGCCCAGGGUGCUGUUUCCAUUGUCAGAUGCUCUUUUGGUUUAGAAUCUGUACAUCAUCUUUUCCAGGGAAAAAUCAUUGAGGGAGUCUUUGGUGGCACUGUAGCUAGAUUGGAGGGCUCUCAAGUCUGCUGCUGGCCUGCCCUGGCGGAGACUCUCAGGGGUUGAUGAUGUUUUGUGGUAUAAUCCUUGAGUGCCCCCUAACAAUUCUCUCCAUUUCUCUGCAGAAAUCAAGGUCCCUGACCACUCACUCAUGUAUCUGUCCAUGAAUCCGCAAAUAAAAUAUCAUUUCAUCAUGAGGAAACACCCCCAGGUCAAGGGAAAGGAGUUCUCAGAAUCAACCUGCAAGUCCUCCAGGCCGCUUUCCCACAAGCAGGUGGGAGACACCUGCUUAAUUCAUGUCCACUUAGCAACACAAAGUCCAAAGAUGGCCAAGACUGUCCUGGUAAGCCUGGGAGCAGGGGUGUCCCCUGGUGCUUACACCUGGGUGGGGAGCAGACACUGGUCCAAUACCAUGGACUACUCAUGCCCUCUUGAAUUUGGAGCUUCUGGAUGAUCAGGUGGAUAGAUGGGAAUUAAGAAGGAAGAGGUCAGUGUGAAGGGCUGGAGCUGAGAUGAGGGAGAGCAGCAGCAAGUCCACCGCCAUGUCUGAGGGAGUCUGUCUGUCAGGGGGCAGCCUGCAGUCCAGAAGGGAAGGGGCAGUGGUGACAGAUGAGAAUAGGACAGGAACUAGGUGGCAGGUUCCCCUGUAUGGGAUGCUAGCAUCCAUGGAGGAGGACAGCAUUAUGAGGUCUGCGUGUUCCUUGAACCAGGAGCUAUGUUCAAGAAUUGGGCUAGUCGCCUAUGGGAAGAGACCACAUGAUGAGAAGGAGGCCAGCCUCAGGUAGUAAGGUCAUGGAUGGUGCCCUGUAUUUAGAGUUGAGGUGCCUCCAGAAUGCCCUGCCCACUGUCCUUGAGUAGUCACUUCAAGGCCCAUUUCCUGAAGGCCUGUCUCCCAUGCUGCUCCAGGUGACCUGCCAUGUUAGGGCUCCUGUUGUCAUCCGCAGGGCCCUCGAGCUACACUUGCUUACUCAGGAGAAGCCAGAGGAAUAUGAGCUGGGCCAAAUCAUCUCUCACUCUCAGAGUAAGUGGGACAAUCAGAUGGCAGGGAGCAAAGCUCAGGAUGUGGACUCAGGUCAAAUCUUAGCACCAAAGAGUAGUUUCUGACCCCCAAGAACACUCCAACAGGGUUUUUAGGGGCUCGUGCACAAAGCCAACUGCACUUCUGCUAGUGUAAGCUCUCCAGGUUCUAUGGUAUACCCCAAUGGCUAGUGCGGCUCCCCACCAGGUGCCCUCCCCUGGACAUGAACAGGCAUCCAAAGCUGACAUCAUUGAGGAGUGAGGAAGAAAGCCUCUUUCCAGGAGUAGUAUGGUUCCAUGGUCUGGGAUAGGAGUGGUUUCAGAGGGACAUCGGAAUGCAUGGGCUAAAGAUGGAACCAGCACUUUUGUGGACUGAAGCAGUACUAUUGAAAGCCUUCUGUGUGAUCAGAAAAGCACUGCCUUGGCAGAGCAUUGUC
rnacentral:lncRNA from 1 species